rnacentral:rRNA from 1 species
AUUGAACGCUGGCGGCAGGCCUAACACAUGCAAGUCGAACGAGUGGCGGACGGGUGAGUAAUGUCUGGGAAACUGCCCGAUGGAGGGGGAUAACUACUGGAAACGGUAGCUAAUACCGCAUACCAUCGGAUGUACCCAGUUGGGAUUAGCUAGUAGGUGGGGUAAUGGCUCCCCUAGGCGACGAUCCCUAGCUGGUCUGAGAGGAUGACCAGCAACACUGGAACGGAGACACGGGCCAGACUCCUACGGGAGGCAGCAGUGGGGAAUAUUGCACAAGGGGCGCAAGCCUGAUGCAGCCAUGCCGCGUGUAUGAAGAAGGCCUUCGGGUUGUAAAGUACUUUCAGCGGGGAGGCGUUACUCGCAGAAGAAGCACCGGCUAACUCCGUGCCAGCAGCCGCGGUAAUAC